GGGGGCGAAAGGAGUCGACCAGAUACGUUGAGGUAUAGGUGGCGUAUUGAGGUUGUCAGGAGGCCUCAUAAAAAACCUGGCAAACAAUUUAACUGCCAAACAACCAAUGGCAAUGGCUGCUUAAUAAAACAGCCACAUUUAAUUAACCUUACCUGCGAGGUUAAUUAAAUGAUGACAAGCAGGUUAGUUUAAUUCCUUCGUUCGGUGGGAAUUGAAUGAAUCUUUAAACGGGACUGGUUAUUGGAAAUCCUGUCUGCUGGAGUUCCGGAUAACGAGAUGCAAAAAACAGACUAUAUACGUAGAAGCCUAUGCUGAAAUAUCUAGGGACGCGGGUUCAAUUCCCGCCGCCUCCACCA
rnacentral:tmRNA from 1 species